AUGUUUUCAAUUCAAAAGCAGACUUCGUUAUCUUCUUCCCACUGAUGAGCUUCUGAGUAAAGCCGCAAGCAUCCACAGCAACAUUUAUGGAAAGACAGUGACUCGGUUAGUGUUGAUCUUUUGGUGAAGCUGUCAGCUACUGUUUGUCCGGUGCAGUUAUGGAACCUGCUGAAUAACUCAACAAACACGUUUUCAGGCUCUGUGAAAUCCAGCCAACCGACCCUCAGCCAUGACAAAUGCAGAGGAGCCUCUGGUUUGUGUGUGGAGCCUCGGCACGGUCAAGGCGUCGCUGUCGUCGUCUGGAACUGGAAAGUGAAUCUGCUGCACUGACAUGAAACUGAAACAGCACAUGACACUCACGGCAGCUGCUGACCUCCCUGUGAGCGUGUGCGUUUGUCGCAAAUGUGGCCGCAUGGAAACACGGAUUCAUACACAUCUACAUUCAGUCUGUUCAUGCUAUAACAAUGUAACAUCUCCCCCACAAAUCAUGCAUGUAGCAUCAGAGGCAAUUAAUGAAACAAAACUGUCUGCAAACAGACUAUAAUUCAAGCUCACAGCAGCUGGAGCAUCAAGUCAAUUCAACCCUGACGUUUGUGUCCUGCCAAGAAGCCUCAAAAUAUCGGAUUAUGUCACUAAAUUACUAAAAUAUGCUCAUUGCUGAGAUCUGUUGUUGUGUUGUGGCUCGCGGUGUGAUCAACAAUUUUGGAAGUUGAAUCUAACUGUCAAAAUGAAGACAGCAUUCACGAUGAAAGGUGAUGAUGUCAGAGUCCACAUUGUUGCCCUGUUAGACUUUAAGACGGUGGAGGUUUUGUCUCUGAGGACAAGAAUAAAAGCUCAAACACA